AGAACGAACGCUGGCGGCAUGCCUAAUACAUGCAAGUCGAACGAACUCUUCGGAGUUAGUGGCGCACGGGUGCGUAACGCGUGGGAAUCUGCCCCUUGGUUCGGAAUAACAGUUGGAAACGACUGCUAAUACCGGAUGAUGACGAAAGUCCAAAGAUUUAUCGCCAAGGGAUGAGCCCGCGUAGGAUUAGCUAGUUGGUGAGGUAAAGGCUCACCAAGGCAACGAUCCUUAGCUGGUCUGAGAGGAUGAUCAGCCACACUGGGACUGAGACACGGCCCAGACUCCUACGGGAGGCAGCAGUAGGGAAUAUGGACAAUGGGCGAAAGCCUGAUCCAGCAAUGCCGCGUGAGUGAUGAAGGCCUUAGGGUUGUAAAGCUCUUUUACCCGAGAUGAUAAUGACAGUAUCGGAGAAUAAGCCCCGGAUAACCUCCGCGCCAGCAGCCGC
rnacentral:rRNA from 1 species